GACGAACGCUGGCGGCGUGCUUAACACAUGCAAGUCGAACGGAAAGGCCCUGCUUUUGUGGGGUGCUCGAGUGGCGAACGGGUGAGUAACACGUGAGUAACCUGCCCUUGACUUUGGGAUAACUUCAGGAAACUGCGGCUAAUACCUGAUAGGAGCUCCUGCUGCAUGGUGGGGGUUGGAAAGCUUGGGCGGUUGGGGCUGGACUCGCGGCUUAUCAGCUUGUUGGUGGGGUAGUGGCUUACCAAGCCUUUGACGGAUAGCCGGCAUGGGAGGGGGAACGGCCACAUGGGGACUAAGGUAGGGACCAGACUGCUACGGGAGGCAGCAGUGGGGAACAUUGUACAAUGGGCGCGAGCCUGAUGCAGCAACGCCGGGUGCGGGAAGACGGCCUUCGGGUUGUAAACCGCUUUCGCCUGUGACGGAGCGUGAGUGACGGUAAUGGGUAAAGAAGCACCGGCUAACUACGUG
rnacentral:rRNA from 1 species